rnacentral:rRNA from 1 species
AACUAGUGUAGCGGGUAUUGACCCCUGCUUGUGCCGCAGUUAACGCAUAAAGUUCUCCGCUGGGGAGUACGGCCGCAAGGUUAAAACUCAAAGGAAUUGACGGGGGCCCGCACAACGGUGGAGCAUGUGGUUUAAUUCGACGCAACGCGAAGAACCUUACCUGGGUUUGACAUCCUCUGACUGCCCCGGAAACGGGGUUUUUCCGACUCUGUCGGAACAGAGUGACAGGUGCUGCAUGGCUGUCGUCAGCUCGUGCCGUGAGAUGUUGGGUUAAGUCCCGCAACGAGCGUAACCCUUGUCUUUAGUUGCCAGUAUUAAGUUAGGCACUCUAAAGAGACUGCCUCGGUUAACGGGGAGGAAGGUGGGGAUGACGUCAAGUCCUCAUGGCCUUUAUAUCCAGGGCUACACACGUGCUACAAUGGGCUGUACAAAGGGUUGCCACUCCGCGAGGAGGCGCUAAUCCCAAAAAGCAGUCCUCAGUUCGGAUUGGAGUCUGCAACUCGACUCCAUGAAGGUGGAAUCGCUAGUAAUCGUGGAUCAGCACGCCACGGUGAAUACGUUCCCGGGCCUUGUACACACCGCCCGUCACACCACGAAAGUCGACUGUACCAGAAGUUGCUGGGCCAACCCUUCGGGGGGGCAGGUACCUAAGGUACGGCCGGUAAUUGGGGUGAAGUCGUAACAAGGUAACC